rnacentral:rRNA from 1 species
CCUACGGGAGGCAGCAGUGAGGAAUAUUGGUCAAUGGACGAGAGUCUGAACCAGCCAAGUAGCGUGAAGGAUGACUGCCCUAUGGGUUGUAAACUUCUUUUAUAUGGGAAUAAAAUGUUCCACGUGUGGGAUUUUGUAUGUACCAUAUGAAUAAGGAUCGGCUAACUCCGUGCCAGCAGCCGCGGUAAUACGGAGGAUCCGAGCGUUAUCCGGAUUUAUUGGGUUGAAAGGGAACGUAGGUGGAUUGUUAAGUCAGUUGUGAAAGUUUGCGGCUCAACCGUAAAAUUGCAGUUGAAACUGGCAGUCUUGAGUACAGUAGAGGUGGGCGGAAUUCGUGGUGUAGCGGUGAAAUGCUUAGAUAUCACGAAGAACUCCGAUUGCGAAGGCAGUUCACUGGACUGCAACUGACACUGAGGCUCGAAAGUGUGGGUAUCAAACAGGAUUAGAUACCCCUGUAGUC